AGGAUUCCCCUAGUAACUGCGAGUGAAGCGGGAAAAGCUCAAAUUUAAAAUCUGGCAGUCUUUGGCUGUCCGAGUUGUAAUUUAGAGAAGCACUGCCGGYGCUGGACUGUGUACAAGUCUCCUGGAAUGGAGCGUCAUAGAGGGUGAGAAUCCCGUAUAUGACACAGUUGCCAGGGCUUAGUGGCCUGCUCUCCAAGAGUCGAGUUGUUUGGGAAUGCAGCUCAAAAUGGGUGGUAAAUUCCAUCUAAAGCUAAAUACAGGCGAGAAACCGAUAGCGAACAAGUACCGUGAGGGAAAGAUGAAAAGAACUUUGGAAAGAGAGUUAAACAGUACGUGAAAUUGUUGAAAGGGAAACGCUUGAAGUCAGUCACAUUGCUGGAAAUCACACUUGCUUUCAUUGCUUGUGGCUCUUUCCUAGUAAUGGGUCAGCAUCAGUUUUGAUUGUUGGACAAGGGUUAGAGGAAUGUGGCAUCCUUGGAUGUGUUAUAGCCUCUGAUCAUAUGCAAUGAUGGAGACUGAGGAACUCAGCACUUUUGUGCUUAGGAUGCUGGCAUAAUGGCUUUAAUCGACCCGUCUUAAACCCCCG
rnacentral:rRNA from 1 species